UGGCAAGAUGUGCUGAUUCAGCAGGCACGCUCCUAAUGGAUUCAUCAAUGGUAGUAGAGUGCCACCAAUGGAUUCAUCUAUGAGCUAUGGGUUGUCAAGGCUACAGUAGUAAUUAUAAGUAAGCUAAUACUGAUAUUAUUUGUAACAAUUGUAUAUUCCAUGUAGCUGUCUGAAACUUUGUUUAUGGUGUCAAAACCAAGUGUGUAGCAUAAUUUAAGAUUUACUUGUAUGGUUAGAAGAUUCACUUGUUUCACGACUCUAAAAUAUUUUUUUGUUUUCAGGCUUUUAACUUCUGUUAAAUUUGGGUGGAUCGAUGCCUCGCCGAACUAACUUAUGAAAUUGGAGAUCAGUUGAUUUGAUAAUCGUUACCUGGCUGGCAAUCCCUGACAAGUGAACUUAAUACUACGUGCAUGACAACUACACUUUGGUCUGCACUCUUCAUCUACAACUCAAAGUUAGUAAACUCUUCUUUGUUUCUUUUUUGGAAUCCACUUAAUGCAAUAGAGUUUCAGAAACUAAAAGCCUGUUGUAAAUUAUGGCAAUUCUCUGACUUUUUUUGGUAAUGCCUAAUGCCUCCAGGUCCUAU
rnacentral:lncRNA from 1 species